ensembl:lncRNA
AUCUAAGCUACAGUAAAGGUUUAAUUCUGACAUUGUUAAAAUAAUGACAAUAUUAAAGGGGGAUUCAAAUUAGUUUUUUUCCCCGUAAAUGCUUACCAUGAGUUUAUGUGCUGACAUUGGCAUUAAACUACUGCCAUUAUGACGUAAUAAUGUAACGGAGGUUUAAUCUCAGCCAAAAUGCUGUUUCCACUCAUUUAUUGAUUCACUUUUACAGAGAGAGGUACAUGUCGUCUUUAGAUAGUUUUAUUAUGUAUCACUGAUGCAUAAUCAAGGCAGGAAAAAUAGCUAAAUUGACAAACUCAAGGAGAGAGAACUCACACUCAAGAAGGAGAGAGUAACGUCAUGUCAACCUCGAGGAAGAAAAACGCUGCUUACCAAGGCCACCAGGACAAACCUACCACUCCUAGUACCAAUGUGAUCCGGAAUCCUAUCCCAGAUGGCCAGCGUUGCUUAGUCAAUGAAGACAGGAUUCGGCAGAUGGAGAGAUCCGAGAGAGAGGCAAUGGAGGCUAAGGCCAAGCAGAUAAGUGGCAUCUAUGAGAACUAUGUUCAAACAGCUCUCAUCAGGGUUGGCAGGAACGUGUCACACCACUUUGCUCAGAGCACACCACUCCACAAACCUCCACCUAGGACUUUUCCCAGAACAACUGAACAUGUUGUUCUGCCCCGACUUAAUAAUGUCAUGGGGGUGGACAAAGCCAAUGGCCAAGACAAAGAUCUCUGCUUGGAGUCCUUCCGGUUGAAGGGGUCAUUGAGCAGCAGCAUGCUUCGAAUUCCUGUCCCUCCUCGUUCUUCUUCUCCCUUCAAGAAAGAAAAGAAGAAGAAAAAGAAGAAAGGCAGGCUGGAAGUCGAAGCCCUCAAUGUCCAGUCGGACAUUAACAAUGACAUCACACCCAUCGACCUGUUUGAGAAAUCGAAGAAUAUGCAGGUUCACCUGAAUCAGGAGGCAUGGAAGGUGGUUAAGGAGUUGGAGGCCACGGGCAGAAGGUAUAUAAACCUGGUCAAUUCCACAGGGGAGAGAACCACCAGCUCCCUGGGAACCCUGAGCUCAGUGGAUAUGGAGACCCCAGAGGAGCUACGCUGCUACUUAGAAUUUGGGACCCCGGACGAGCCACGCAACCCCACACCGAUUCCUUCACCCCCUCCUACCAAGCCCACAAGCAAACUGCUUCAGACACCUAAGUUCUUUCGCACUGCAAGGGCAGCUUCCAGCUCAGACAAGAAGGUAGCCAGUGAACCUACGAGCCAUAUAGUGGAGAUUAAAGACCAGGCCAGAUUGCAGCCACUGGACAACCCAGAGCAGGCCCUGGAUAAGACCUUGAAACUGCUCAGCUCUGACUCAGUUGACUGGUGA